AGAGCAAAGAAAACCACUGAGGAGUGGUAAGGUAAUACCGCGUCUCCUGGCUUCUAAGUUCCUACUGCCUGAACGACGCACCUUCGACUUAUGAACCUCUUUGGCAGGAAGACAAAACAAAGACAUCAUAUUAGAUCAAGGGACUGUUGGGGGUCUACCCUUCAUUAUGUUGCAUCAUGGGUAUCAUUCAGAGAGAUUGGAUGCUUCUCAAAAUGGCAGGUGACCCAAUCUAUUUAUUUUAAAGAGAAGCAGGAACACAAAGACAAAGGAUGAAUUACUUGCACAUGGAAGCAACGCGUCUGGGAAGCCACAUUUCAAUCUUACGCAAUCAUGGGCCGGUAGCCCGUCUCAGUGGUACCUGAUACUCAGUGCUGUCUCCAUCCCUGCUCUCCGCAUCCACCUGUGUGGCAUCCAUGCCCUCCUGAGGGCCGUCCUGGCUCAAGUCAACCGAUGGCGUACUGCUGCUCUUAGGUGUCACAUCUUCCAUGAGGUCGAUGCUGGCAGGCGAUGACCAUGGCGUGCUUGCUGAAGACGAUGCUCGCCGCCUCCGAGACUAGACAGAAGGAUGAGAUGGAGACGCAAUGAGGCGCACAACUAGUAUCCAACAGGUUCUCAGAGAAGCACGAAUGAAGGAACAAAUCAGUACCCCAGAAGACAGGGUUACAGGAACUGGCAGCCAUUUGACCCCAAGGCAGAGAGCAGAGACAGAAUAGUGUCACACAGACACAGUGUGUGUUCGAUAACAGGGGCUCUGAAGCUGCGUUCGGAGGGCAGGGUCCCUGGUUAACUGUGUCCAUCUGGAAACAGAAGAGUGUUCUGGCCCUGCUGGGGUUGCCUCAAGACAGCAGGAAAAAAGACACCAGACAAAGGUGAUGACACCAGUGGCUUCCGGCUCAAUUCCAAGGUGGGCUAGAGACCCGAGCACUUGGAAACUCUUUCCUCCAAGUCGCUCCAAGUAGGAUGAGUCAGGAGAGAAAGUAAGAAGCCAGACCCUGGAAAGCAGGAGUGUGUGAAGAAAGCACCCGUUAUACACACAACGGCACUGUGUUAGUGAGUGAAGCAGAUCUCGCAAUCAGAAACCGGACCAACCUUGGUAGCUGGGAACUCCACGGGGUACUCCUGAACGUGGUAGCGGCCCUGCCGGCCUCGCGUGAUUCUGGGGGAGGUUCUUUGCCUCUCCAGGCUGGAGAUACUGUUGCUGUUUCGGGUUCGGACCUGAAAGAAUAAACACUGGGCCUUAGGGGAAGAGAUGCAUGGGGCCCAACAAAGGCUCCCAAAGGACUAAGACCGUGAGAAGGCCUCGCUCAAUUCAACCUGGAGGUUAGACGGCUGGAUGUAAUCUCCGGGAUGUAUUUAACAAGGGCUGUCUUUGAAGGAGACCAUCAGACCGUUCCAUGACACAACAUACAUUUGGCCACCUGAACUGGCAGCAGCAAGUAGGGACUGAAUUGUUUGCCUUCCUAAUGCUGCAAGGCUUAAAUACAGCUCCUCGACUUGUGGUGACCCCUCGACCACAUUAUUUGUUGCGAUUUUGUAACCACAAUUUUGCUGUUAUGAAUCACAGUGUAACUGAUAAUGGAGGACUAUCUGAUAUGAGACCCUGUGAAAGGGGUCUUCAAGCCACAUCCCCCAAGGCGUUGAGACCCACAGUUUGAGAACCAUUGCCUUAAACCAAGUAUUCCAUCAAGAAGCACAGGCCUUGAUACCGGCUUAUUCAAGGCACUGAAUGAGGGCAGAGCAGAAAGUGCAUUUUCUCAGUUCGGUGUGCGCGUGCCUGUUGCUGCAAACUCUAUAUAAACAUUAUGGUUAAUCAGGUGUGGGGGGUGUCACCUGCCUGUACUCACAUCACAGAAGACACAGAAGACACAGGAGACAGCCUGAAACCCACCUUCGGCUCAAGAACAGAGUUGAAGUUACUGGGAAUUGUCUCCAGUGUGUAAGACAAGGAAAGUACAAAUCCACAGAAGGUGAUGUCACUGCAGUAGCCGCCAUGUUCUUGCUGACCCGCUGGGACUUCCCAUUCAAUAGACUUUUUUCUGUUUUUAGCUCUAACUGAUAUAUGUCCAUUAUUUUGUUUGACAUAGUGUAUGAGUACAUUGAACUAGAUUAGAAAUCAAUACAUAAAAGGCCUAGUCAACGUCUUCUUAAGCCAGGGCAUAUGCUCAGAGAAAACAACCCACAGAGGUGGCAGGAACCCCAAUCAACCACCCAAAAAAUGACAAGCUCACAGUAGUCAGGAGUGAACCUGUUCUCUCUCUUGGACACGGAAUGUUGAAUACAUAACAUAACAGCAGUGGCAGGUGUGGAAGCCUAUGUUCUUAAUCCCAGCAACUGCAGAGGCAAAUGCAGGCGGAUCUCUGAGUUCAAAGCCAGCUCAGUCUACAGAGUGAGUCCCAGCUGGGGGUACACAGAGAAACCCUGUCUCAAAAACCAAACAUACAAAGGAUGCCAGCGAUGACUUAGCUUAGCAGAUACUUUCCACAAAGUCGACUCACUUGAGAGUUGUGCAUAGAGCUAAACUGGUAGAAUGCCUGCUCCGAGUAAGGUCUGGGUUUGAGCCCUAGCCCCACACCAAACCAGAUGUGAUGGUGUGUUUGGUGCAUGCCUGCAGUGCAACCAGAAGCAGGUCAGGAUCUACACAGUGAGUUAGGGUCACUGCUGAGGCAGUGCAACACGGAUCCGCCUGCCUCUACUGAGUAGGUUCUGGUGUUCCAGAACCUCCACACACCCAAGCUUAAAGCUCAUCCCGGGGGCUGGAGAGAUGGCUCAGUGGUUAAGAGCACUGACUGCUCUUCCAGAGGUCCUGAGUUCAAUUCCCAGCAACCACAUGGUGGCUCACAACCAUCUUUAAUGAGAUCUGAUACCCUUUUCUGGUGUCUGAGACAGCGACAGUGUAGUCACAUAAAAUAAAUCUU